rnacentral:rRNA from 1 species
GACGAACGCUGGCGGCGUGCUUAACACAUGCAAGUCGAACGGAAAGGCCCUGCUUUUGUGGGGUGCUCGAGUGGCGAACGGGUGAGUAACACGUGAGUAACCUGCCCUUGACUUUGGGAUAACUUCAGGAAACUGGGGCUAAUACCGGAUAGGAGCUCCUGCUGCAUGGUGGGGGUUGGAAAGUUUCGGCGGUUGGGGAUGGACUCGCGGCUUAUCAGCUUGUUGGUGGGGUAGUUGCUUACCAAGGCUUUGACGGGUAGCCGGCCUGGGAGGGUGACCGGCCACAUUGGGACUGAGAUACGGCCCAGAAGCCUACGGGAGGCAGCAGUGGGGAAUAUUGCACAAUGGGCGGAAGCCUGAUGCAGCAACGCCGCGUGCGGGAUGACGGCCUUCGGGUUGUAAACCGCUUUCGCCUGUGACGAAGCGUGAGUGACGGUAAUGGGUAAAGAAGCACCGGCUAACUACGUG